rnacentral:rRNA from 1 species
GAUGAACGCUGGCGGCGUGCCUAAUACAUGCAAGUCGAGCGAACAGACGAGGAGCUUGCUCCUCUGACGUUAGCGGCGGACGGGUGAGUAAAACGUGGAUAACCUACCUAUAAGACUGGGAUAACUUCGGGAAACCGGAGCUAAUACCGGAUAAUAUAUUGAACCGCAUGGUUCAAUAGUGAAAGACGGUUUUGCUGUCACUUAUAGAUGGAUCCGCGCCGCAUUAGCUAGUUGGUAAGGUAACGGCUUACCAAGGCAACGAUGCGUAGCCGACCUGAGAGGGUGACCGCCCACACUGGAACUGAGACACGGUCCAGACUCCUACGGGAGGCAGCAGUAGGGAAUCUUCCGCAAUGGGCGAAAGCCUGACGGAGCAACGCCGCGUGAGUGAUGAAGGUCUUCGGAUCGUAAAACUCUGUUAUUAGGGAAGAACAAAUGUGUAAGUAACUAUGCACGUCUUGACGGUACCUAAUCAGAAAGCCACGGCUAACUCCGUG